rnacentral:lncRNA from 1 species
AAAAAUGCAUGUAUUUACACACAUUCGAGGCCGUACUGUAGCCUAUAAUUGAUCACAGUUACUUCACUUUGUUUUGGGAGUAGAGCUAUUUCGGUGACACCCAAUUGUACAACACUGCGGGGGUUUAUAAUGAUAAUGAAGUCCGUCUUUCCGUUCGUUCGUUGGACAGUUAUACUAUGUUUGGCCGGUUUUGUAAGUACAUCUCCUCAUUUACCACUUAAUAUACAAUGGGGUUUCCAGCCAUUUUUAAAUGGAGAGAGGGUCCAAUCCAGGAGAAAAGGGGAUUCCAAAUAUAUGUUCCCAUACAAAUGCAUUGAUAGUUAAAAAGGGUUUCAAUCCGCCGGAUCGCCUUUUUUUUAUCCGUCACUGAUAUGACUUAAUUAAUCUUUCCCGGAUUCCUUAUCAUAAAUUAUAAUGACUGUAUUGUGCACCGUCUAUUUCGAAUUAAAGUAAACAUCUUUUAUGGGGGUUCUUUGUAUAAGAUACGGACUAUGCAUUAUAUGGGGCACCUAUCAGGUUUUUCCAACACCACCUCCUAAACCAAUUAUAAAAGUUCUGAACUGAAUUGCUCCAUUUUUAAUCAAUUAAUGCAAAUAUGCACCUUCUAUUUCUAUUUUUUGGUGAAAAUAUUUUUCAUGUUUUUAUAUCUCAAAUAUACGGACUUUGCCAUAGUUUUAUAUUGGGCGUAUCUAUUUUAUAUCCACAAAUUCCUUCAGACACUUAACUUUGUGAAUCUUUUUUAGAUUCUUUAUCAUUUAAUUCAAUUGUGCACCUCUUAUUUUCAUUUUUUUUAGAAAACUCACUGUUUUCUCCUUCCGUGAUAAGGGCUUUUCCACUACCUUAUUGGGUGGUACCCAUUCACUAUACGCAACUUUCCUAAACUUACCGUAUAUUAAUAAAACUUUCUCAGAUUCUUUAUCAAAUGAUGCCACUCUGCACCUAUAUUUUAGUUGGGUUUUUUUUUUUUGGGGGGGGGGGUAUUUUUUCCAAAACAUGGACUUCAGAAGCGGCG